rnacentral:rRNA from 1 species
CCAAGAGAUCGGGAUAACACCUGGAAACAGAUGCUAAUACCGGAUAACAACAGAUGAUGCCUAUCAACUGUUUAAAAGAUGGUUCUGCUAUCACUCUUGGAUGGACCUGCGGUGCAUUAGCUAGUUGGUAGGGUAACGGCCUACCAAGGCGAUGAUGCAUAGCCGAGUUGAGAGACUGAUCGGCCACAUUGGGACUGAGACACGGCCCAAACUCCUACGGGAGGCAGCAGGC